rnacentral:lncRNA from 1 species
AUGAUUGCAAGUUUUCUGAGGCCUUCCCCGAAGCUCAGCAGAUGCCAGCGUCAUUCUGCCUGUACAGCCUGCAGAACCUCAUUAACUCUGGCAUGUAGCAGCAGAAGAGAGCAUUGGAAAGAGUCCAGUGGAGCAGAGAAAGGUGGGGAGUGGACGAUCAAGGACAGCCAGGUCUUGAUUUGGAAAAGAUGCCCGUGGAAAGGACACUCACUGAAAAGUGUGUUCUGUGCCCUGGAAGGCUGGAACUGGAAGGCUGACUACAUCAGGGACGACUCUCUUGCUGUAGGGCUUCUUGUUGAGUCCAGCCAAUGCCAGACAAAUGAGGGAAUCCAAAGGUGGGAGAAGAGCGAGGUCCUAAGACCCUCCUUCUAA